UGGCGACCGGCGCACGGGUGCGUAACGCGUAUGCAACCUACCUUUAACAGGGGGAUAACACUGAGAAAUUGGUACUAAUACCCCAUAAUAUCAUAGAAGGCAUCUUUUAUGGUUGAAAAUUCCGAUGGUUAGAGAUGGGCAUGCGUUGUAUUAGCUAGUUGGUGGGGUAACGGCUCACCAAGGCGACGAUACAUAGGGGGACUGAGAGGUUAACCCCCCACACUGGUACUGAGACACGGUCCAA
rnacentral:rRNA from 1 species